rnacentral:rRNA from 1 species
CCUACGGGAGGCAGCAGUAGGGAAUCUUCCACAAUGGGCGAAAGCCUGAUGGAGCAACGCCGCGUGGGUGAAGAAGGUCUUCGGAUCGUAAAACCCUGUUGUUAGAGAAGAUAGUGCGUGAGAGUAACUGUUCCCGUUUCGACGGUAUCUAACCAGAAAGCGCCGGCUAACUACGUGCCAGCAGCCGCGGGAAUACGUAGGUGGCAAGCGUUAUCCGGAGUUAUUGGGCGUAAAGGGAACGCAGGCGGUCUAGUAAGUCUGAUGUGAAAGCCUUCGGCUUAACCGGAGUAGUGCAUUGGAAACUGGUAGACUUGAGUGCAGAAGAGGUGAGUGGAAUUCCAUGUGUAGCGGUGAAAUGCGUAGAGAUAUGGAAGAACACCAGUGGCGAAAGCGGCUCGCUGGACUGUAACUGACGCUGAGGUUCGAAAGCGUGGGUAGCAAACAGGAUUAGAUACCCGAGUAGUC